UGACAGUUGAAAGCCAAGGCCAGCGCA
rnacentral:piRNA from 1 species